rnacentral:misc_RNA from 1 species
UCCGCCUUAUAUCUUCUGAACUCAAUGUUUCACGCUCUAGAAGGGCAGUUGCCAGAGUGUGUAGAGCCUUUUCAUGCUUUUUUAGGAGGGCCUUUACGCGAUCAUAUGCUUCUCUUAGAAGUUUGACCACCUCAGCAUCCAUACGUGAUUGCAUUUCAGCACUUGGCCGCUCUUUGAUGUGAACAGGUCCAAUUGCAUCACUCAUCCCACAGGAUGAUACCAUGUAUUGAGCAAGUUCUG